rnacentral:sRNA from 1 species
CUUGUUAGCCCACAGCCUCUAAUAGAAUGGACAGAUGCCACCCUAGUUAUGUCUUAAGAAAUUAAGAAGCUUUUAGGUGUUUAAUAAAUGAGAGUUGAGCCUCCCUUUCUGGGACCCACCUGAACCACAGUCUCUGAGGGGGUCUUGCUGCAUUCACAGAUACCGGGUCCAUCCGCAGUUUACAGACAGGUGUGGGAGAGCUGCAUGGGGAAACCAGAUUCUGGCAUGGAAAGGACUACUGCAAUUUCGUCUUCAAAGACUGGGUUCAACUUGAUAAACCUUUUGCUGAUUUCAUUGACAGGUACUCCAUGCCCCGGAUGCCCUGGCAUGACAUUGCCUCUGCAGUCCACGGGAAGGCGGCUCGUGAUGUGGCACGUCACUUCAUCCAGCGCUGGAAUUUCACGAAAAUUAUGAAAUCAAAAUAUCGGUCUCUUUCUUAUCCUUUUCUGCUUCCAAAGUCUCAAACAACAGCCCAUGAGUUGAGAUAUCAAGUGCCUGGGUCUGUCCAUGCUAACGUACAGUUGCUCCGCUCUGCUGCUGAUUGGUCUGCUGGUAUAAAGUACCAUGAAGAGUCCAUCCAUGCCGCUUACGUCUAUGUGAUAGAGAACAGCAGGCACUAUAUCUAUAUCGAAAACCAGUUUUUCAUAAGCUGUGCUGAUGACAAAGUUGUGUUCAACAAGAUAGGCGAUGCCAUUGCCCAGAGGAUUCUGAAAGCUCACAGUCUUGCUCUGUCACCCAGGCUGGAGUGUGGUGGUGUGAUCUUGGCUCACUGCAACCUCCACGUCCCGGGUUCAAGCAAUUCUCCUGCCUCAGCCUCCUGAGUAGCUGGGAUUAUAGGCACCCACCACCACACUCAGCUAAUUUUUUUGUAUUUUUGAUGGAGAUGGGGUUUCACCAUGUCAGCCAGGCUAGCUUUGAACUCCUAACCUCAAGUGAUCCGCCCACCUCGGCCUCCCAAAGUGCCCCUCAUGCUUCUUAUAACUGUAGAAGUACUACUGCUUGCCUGUAAGUGGGUGGUAUGGGAAAUACCACACUGGGAAAUCUGGAAUUAUUGGGGGACCAGAUGUCUGGAGACCUGGAUUCUCUCCAGCUCUGCUAUCCACAGGUAUGUGACCCUCUGAGUACGUCAGUUUGUCCUUCUGACACGCUGUUUCUUCACCAACCACGAAUAAUAAUAUCUGUUCUACCUAGCUUAUAUGAAUAUACAUGAAAGUAGUUUGUAAGCUGUAAAGAAAUUAUUCCAUGUUCAUGGAAGAAAUUAUUAUAGCAUUUCCAUGAUAUUCAUCAUCUGGAAAUAUGUUGUUCACUGUAAAUUCAAGCAAGGAUAAAGAGGCAUGAUAUUCAAAUCAGCUGUUUCAAAAUUAGUAUUUAUGCUAGAAAAAGAAAUGUUUUAAUUAAAAAGAUGCUUAAAUGUUCUAUAUUUUAAAUUAUUGGACGGCUACUUCUGGAUAAGAAAAAUUUGUUUUGGUUUCUCACCACUGGCUCUUGUUCAUUGUGUGACAGGUUUAGGUACAUGAUUACAACACUCUGUCUAGAGGUUUUCUGCCAGAAACCUAUAGCUGACUCUUCCUGGGAAUUGAUUUUUGAUUUCCCUGUUAUUGAUCUGAUAACACUCUCCCCAAAAUGUAAAGUAAAACAAAAUGUAUUCUGAAGCAUAAUAUGUGUUUAGUUUAGUAUUGCUUUAAUUUUAGAUGCUAUUUACAUUGUUGUUAUUUGAAGAUAUGCAAGCUUUCUAAUUGAAAUCACCGAUUGAUAUAAUUGAAUAAAAAUGUUACCAAAU